UUUAUUGGAGAGUUUGAUCCUGGCUCAGGAUGAACGCUGGCGGCGUGCCUAAUACAUGCAAGUCGAGCGAAUGGAUUAAGAGCUUGCUCUUAUGAAGUUAGCGGCGGACGGGUGAGUAACACGUGGGUAACCUGC
rnacentral:rRNA from 1 species